UUAAGUGAAUAAGGGCGCACGGUGGAUGCCUUGGCACUAGGAGCCGAUGAAGGACGGGACUAACACCGAUAUGCUUUGGGGAGCUGUACGUAAGCUAUGAUCCAGAGAUUUCCGAAUGGGGGAACCCAACAUCUUUAAUAGGAUGUUACGAUUGUGUGAAUACAUAGCACAUUCGAGGUAGACGCAGAGAACUGAAACAUCUAAGUACCUGCAGGAAGAGAAAGAAAAUUCGAUUCCCUGAGUAGCGGCGAGCGAAACGGGAAAAGCCCAAACCAGCAAGCUUGCUUGUUGGGGUUGUAGGACUCCAAUAUGGUAGUUCUUUCAGAUAGUCGAAUGACUUGGAAAAGUCAGUCAAAGAGGGUAAAAACCCCGUAGACGAAAUGUGGAAGACACCUAGGAGGAUCCUGAGUACGGCGGAACACGAGAAAUUCCGUCGGAAUCCGGGAGGACCAUCUCCCAAGGCUAAAUACUCCCUAGUGACCGAUAGUGAACCAGUACCGUGAGGGAAAGGUGAAAAGCACCCCGGAAGGGGAGUGAAAUAGAACCUGAAACCGUGUACCUACAACAAGUCAAAGCCCGUUAAUGGGUGAUGGCGUGCCUUUUGUAGAAUGAACCGGCGAGUUACGAUUGCAUGCGAGGUUAAGUUGAAGAGACGGAGCCGCAGCGAAAGCGAGUCUGAAUAGGGCGUUUGAGUAUGUAGUCGUAGACCCGAAACCAUGUGAUCUACCCAUGUCCAGGUUGAAGGUGCGGUAAAACGCACUGGAGGACCGAACCCACGUACGUUGAAAAGUGCGGGGAUGAGGUGUGGGUAGCGGAGAAAUUCCAAACGAACUUGGAGAUAGCUGGUUCUCUCCGAAAUAGCUUUAGGGCUAGCCUCGGAAUUGAGAAUGAUGGAGGUAGAGCACUGUUUGGACUAGGGGCCCAUCUCGGGUUACCGAAUUCAGAUAAACUCCGAAUGCCAUUCAUUCAUAUCCGGGAGUCAGACUGUGAGUGAUAAGAUCCAUAGUCGAAAGGGAAACAGCCCAGACCACCAGCUAAGGUCCCAAAAUAUAUGUUAAGUGGAAAAGGAUGUGGGGUUGCACAGACAACUAGGAUGUUGGCUUAGAAGCAGCCAUCAUUUAAAGAGUGCGUAAUAGCUCACUAGUCGAGUGACCCUGCGCCGAAAAUGUACCGGGGCUAAACAUAUUACCGAAGCUGUGGAGUACACCUUUAGGUGUAUUGGUAGGAGAGCGUUCUAAGGGCGUUGAAGGCAGAUCGUGAGGACUGCUGGAGCGCUUAGAAGUGAGAAUGCCGGUAUGAGUAGCGAAAGACAGGUGAGAAUCCUGUCCACCGAAUGACUAAGGUUUCCUGGGGAAGGCUCGUCCGCCCAGGGUUAGUCGGGACCUAAGCCGAGGCCGACAGGCGUAGGCGAUGGAUAACAGGUUGAUAUUCCUGUACCCGUUGUUUUUGUUUGAGCAAUGGAGGGACGCAGGAGGCUAAGGAAUGCAGACGAUCGGAAAUGUCUGUCCAAGCAGUAAGUCUGAAGAGGAGUCAAAUGCUUCUUUUCUUAAGGACAAGCUGUGAUGGGGAGGGAAAUAAUAGUACCGAAGUUCCUGAUGUCACACUGCCGAGAAAAGCUUCUAGUGAGAAAACAGCGGCCCGUACCGCAAACCGACACAGGUAGUCGAGGAGAGAAUCCUAAGGUGAGCGAGAGAACUCUCGUUAAGGAACUCGGCAAAAUGACCCCGUAACUUCGGGAGAAGGGGUGCUGAUCAUACGAUCAGCCGCAGUGAAUAGGCCCAAGCGACUGUUUAUCAAAAACACAGGUCUCUGCAAAAUCGUAAGAUGAAGUAUAGGGGCUGACGCCUGCCCGGUGCUGGAAGGUUAAGAGGAGUGCUUAGCGCAAGCGAAGGUACGAAUUGAAGCCCCAGUAAACGGCGGCCGUAACUAUAACGGUCCUAAGGUAGCGAAAUUCCUUGUCGGGUAAGUUCCGACCCGCACGAAAGGCGUAACGAUUUGGGCACUGUCUCAACGAGAGACUCGGUGAAAUUUUAGUACCUGUGAAGAUGCAGGUUACCCGCGACAGGACGGAAAGACCCCAUGGAGCUUUACUGUAGUUUGAUAUUGAGUGUCUGUACCGCAUGUACAGGAUAGGUAGGAGCCGUAGAAAUCGGAACGCUAGUUUCGAUGGAGGCGCUGGUGGGAUACUACCCCUGCGUUAUGGCCACUCUAACCCGCACCACUAAUCGUGGUGGGAGACAGUGUCAGAUGGGCAGUUUGACUGGGGCGGUCGCCUCCUAAAAGGUAACGGAGGCGCCCAAAGGUUCCCUCAGAAUGGUUGGAAAUCAUUCGAAGAGUGUAAAGGCAGAAGGGAGCUUGACUGCGAGACCAACAAGUCGAGCAGGGACGAAAGUCGGGCUUAGUGAUCCGGUGGUUCCGCAUGGAAGGGCCAUCGCUCAACGGAUAAAAGCUACCCUGGGGAUAACAGGCUUAUCUCCCCCAAGAGUCCACAUCGACGGGGAGGUUUGGCACCUCGAUGUCGGCUCGUCGCAUCCUGGGGCUGUAGUCGGUCCCAAGGGGUGGGCUGUUCGCCCAUUAAAGCGGCACGCGAGCUGGGUUCAGAACGUCGUGAGACAGUUCGGUCCCUAUCCGUCGCGGGCGUUGGAAAUUUGAGAGGAGCUGUCCUUAGUACGAGAGGACCGGGAUGGACUUACCGCUGGUGUACCAGUUGUUCUGCCAAGGGCAUUGCUGGGUAGCUAUGUAGGGAAGGGAUAAACGCUGAAAGCAUCUAAGUGUGAAGCCCACCUCAAGAUGAGAUUUCCCAUUUCUUUAAGAAAGUAAGAUCCCUGAGAGAUGAUCAGGUAGAUAGGUCAGGAGUGGAAGUACAGUGAUGUAUGAAGCGGACUGAUACUAAUCGAUCGAGGACUUAACCAA
rnacentral:rRNA from 1 species